CAUUGCAUGCAUCUGAUGAAGUGGGUUUUAGCCACAAAAGCUUAUGCCCAAAUGAGUGUGUUAGUCUCUAAGGUGCCACAAGUCCUCCUCGUUCUUUUUGCUGAUUUUUUUUUUCAAGUGGUUUUUCCACCAACUUCCAGUGUCUUACUGGGAAGUAGUUUUUUGUUUUUUUUUUUUUUUUUAAACCACCAACUAAUAACUGCAUAUGAGAACUCUAAAUGGAGGAUGCAGGUCUCUGUGGCUGGAAAAUCUCUCUAAAUUAUUUUAAUCUUCCUCUCCAAAUAUCUAAAUUGGGAGACAGUUCCUCUUUGUUCAGUACUGUAUACUUCAUGGUAACCAAUAGUUAUUUAUUCUAAGAUUUUUCUCACACUCUUUAACAUAAACGUCAAUUUAACACAAUUGAAUGUUGCUCAGAAUUUCAGCUGCCCUCUUGGGUAACUAGUCAAGUCCUGUGAGGCCUCCAGUGCUCUGUCUAACCAGCUCAACUGAAAUGAGAAUAAGCCUACCAAUCAUAGUAGCAGAUAUUGCAAUAAUUGAAAUAGAAUAAUGAUAACUAAAUGUGCAACUGGUAACGUCGUACCACUUUGUCUUUGCCCUUUGAGAUUGUAAACUCUUUGGGUAGGGACUCUGGCUAUGUGUGUAUGUGUGCACCUUGUGAUGGGUUCCCCCCAGGGUGCCACCUGGAACUGGGGUACCACUGAGCCCUCUGACCAACCGACCUGGGCUCCCUCUCACACUGUGCUGCUGUGACAUGUUGCAGACCUGCUCCUGGUCCUGCACUUCCACCAGCAUUCACACAGAGGUGCUGCAUAGCU